AUUGAACGCUGGCGGCAGGCCUAACACAUGCAAGUCGAGCGAGCGGCGGACGGGUGAGUAAUGUAUGGGGACUGCCCGAUAGAGGGGGAUAACUACUGGAAACGGUAGCUAAUACCGCAUACUAUCGGAUAACCCAUAUGGGAUUAGCUAGUGGGUAAGGUAAUUGCUCACCUAGGCGACGAUCCCUACCUGGUCUGAGAGGAUGAUCAGCCACACUGGAACUGAGACACGGCCCAGACUCCUACGGAGGCAGCAGUAGGGAAUAUUGCACAAUGGGCGAAAGCCUGAUGCAGCAAUGCCGCGUGGAUGAAGAAGGCCCUAGGGUUGUAAAGUACUUUCAGUCGGGAGGCGUUACCGAAACAAGAAGCACCGGCUAACUCCGUGCCAGCAGCCGCGGUAAUUC
rnacentral:rRNA from 1 species